CUUGGUGUUUUCCGUUCCCUGUAUCUUUGCACUUAAUUUCACCGACUGUGGAUCCACUGGCACGGUGCACGCCUUGAGAAUCCAAGGAUGUACUGCUCAGCCAUGUGUGUUCCGUAGAGGACAAACAUACAUUAUCGAGAUGGAUGUUACAUCUAGAUCCCACAGUAACGCUUUGCAGUUGACGAUUACCGCGCAUCCUCCAAUCAUCCUACCAAUCACAAUUUUCUCCGGAAAUGCUUGCACUAUGCUAAUCGCAGGAUCUUGCCCAUCCGUUCCCGGAAAUUUCAAUACUGCACGCAUUCCAUACACAGUUGGAUACUGGUUUCCGCCGAUAAGCCUUCCAGUC